ensembl:snoRNA
CCUGCCCGAGAGACAUUGCAGGUGUGGCUGCUGUGUCACAUGAGCAUCAGUAGGUGGCAGAGACCAGAGAGGCUAUUUCUGUGCUCAGUGUCCUGAGCUAUAUACACAUGAAUGGUUAGUAGCAUAGCAUU